ACAUCCCGGUUAUCGCAUAAUUCAGCUGUAGACUUGGAAGAACCUUGUAAACUUCGAAAAAAGUUCAAUUGGAAGUAGACUAUAAUUAUUGUUGGAUUCUAACCUGCAUCCGAAAGAAUCCGAAUAACUUCACAUACGGGCAUUUCACACGCCAUUUUGGAAGUACACCUCGACGGCGACGCGCAAUAAAUUAUAUAAAAAGCGAGAAAGCUGGUAAAUAGCAAUGGGACGAAAAAAGAAGAAGCAAUUAAAGCCCUGGUGCUGGAUGAAGAAUGUCAUUAUCCGUUACGUGUACGUUGUUGGUAUGCACCACGGAGGGAAAAGAGAAUUAGAGGUCUGGGCGCUAUAUUUUUGCAAGUCGGAGCCAAACAACCCAUGGGAUCCGAAUGCUGUAGCGGUCUUUGAUGACAGAGACCUAACCCGGCGUGUGUGCUAUCUUCGCCGUGAAGACGCUCGAAAACUCGGGGAAGUUUUAGGCUUUGCACAGGGCACGUGUUACCUGAGACCCAAAAUGAAGGCGGAAAAGUUUUCAAGAUGUAAAGGCCCGAUGCAAAACUGUAGCAUUGGGUUUAAAUGUCAAGAAGAUGUCACGCGAUUGAAGCCAGUGCUGAAUAGCACCUACAUUCAUAAAAUAUACUGACAAUUUAAGACAACAACGUGCUAGAUUUAACCCUUUAUUUAUUAUGCCCCCCUUCGAAGAAGAGGGGGUAUAUUGUUUUGCUGGAUGUCGGUCGGUCGGUUGGUCUGUCGGCCUAUCUGACUGUCGGUAGACUAGUUCGUUUCCGAUCAAUAACUUGUGAACGAAUCAACUGAUUGGCUUGAAACUUCCCGUUUGCAUUGAUAUGGGCAUUAGAUGACCCAUAUUGAUAUUGGGGUCAAAUGUAACUAUCACAAUAAGUGUGAAAAUCAAGGCCCUGUUUGGGGGCAUAUGUCUCCGACCGCGGAACUCUUGUUUAUUUUUAUUUUAUAUUUAAAAAGUUUGAGUUUGUUGAAAGUUCAAAAUAAAAUAAAUCGAACCUUUUUUCUCUGUUUGUUUCUACUAAUUAAACUAUAUUACUUUACAGUGUCAAAUAACAAAUGGUCACAGCCGGACAUGGACGACGCUGUAAUGGCCGUCAACGGAGGGAUGUCAGUCCGCGGUGCUGCUGAACAAUUCAAUGUUCCAAAGUCGACGUUGUCAGACAGAUUAACUGGAAAGGUCAAGGUCGGCAGUGUUUGGGGGAAGAAGCCUCGUCUAUCUACGGUCGAUGAAGGCGCCCUGAUAAGUGCUGCUACAGCUCGUGCUGAUAAGGGACUGGGAUUCUCUAAGAGCAAUUUCAUGAGAUUCGUCGGCGUCUUUGCAGACGAAAAUGGAAAGUCCUUCAAAAACGGGCGACCAUCCGACAUGUGGUGGAGGAAUCUGAAGGCACGGCAUCCAAACUUCUCACUUAGAUGUCCAGAGCCUACAGCAGCAAACAGACAUGCUGCCAUGACAAGGAGCCGGAUUCACUCAUAUUUUCAAGACCUCAAAGGAGUCCUUGAAAAAUAUAAUUUUGACAAGACUCCGGAAAGGAUUUUGAAUAUGGACGAAACCGGCGUCCAGAUGUCUCACAAGCCCGUGAAAGUUAUUGCUUCUAAAGGCUCCCGCACUGUACACGGUAGAGCUAGCAUCUCUCGGGAAACGACAACCGUUAUAGCCUGUGGGAAUGCGUCCGGUCGUUGCAUACCACCGUACUUCAUUUUCCCUGGCAAGAAAAACAAAAAAGCUUAUCGGGUUUGACACCGAGUCCUGCAGAGAUCCGACUUCACCUCUCUACGGGGCGAAGUUUAGUGUCAGCGAGUCAGGAUGGACGAAGGAAGGAAUAGCCCAUCUUUGGUUUACCAACCACUUUCUUCCAAGCAUUGGACCAGUUCGCCCCCAACUUUUGAUCUUCGACGGACAUGGAUCUCACAACAACUUGGAAUUUCUCAAGCUAGCACGUCAAGAGAGCAUCAUCCUUGGGGAGCUGCCAAGCCAUACCAGCCACUGGACCCAGCCAUUUGAUAGGUCGGUUUUCAAGUCUCUCAAAAGCAGUUGGAAUGCCCAUGUCGACGAAUUUAUCAAAAUCACGGGUGUUUCUCUUGGAAAUUCAAGUUUUCUACGUGUGUUUGGUAAAGCAUGGGCAGCAUCUGUAACUCCAAGCAAUGUCAUUAGCGGGUUCCGAGCAACCGGUAUUCACCCGUUCAAUCCAAGCGCCAUUCCUGACAUCGCCUACCUACCAAGUACGGAACUUGCUGUAGAGACAACGGGAAAUUUCAACAUGACAGAGACCUCAAGUCCGCCUGGAACUAACGAGUCCGAGAUCAGUACUCUGCCUGUAACUAUCCAGGCUGUUACCUCAAGUCUGUCUGCAACCACUGAGAGUGAAACCUCCGAUAUUGUUCAGUCCGAAACCUCAAGUCUGCCUGUAAAUCUGGAGGCCCCUCGCAUUCCUUUUGACAUUCAUUCAUCCGUUGAUUGGAACACAAUGUUUGAUUUACUGCUUCCAGUGGGUGAAUCUGUAAUUGAUCUUCCUCUACUCAUCACACAUGAGGGCGCCCUAACACAGUUUACCAGCAGUGAUGUUUUAGAAGUGACCGACGGGUUAAAUGAAAGUUUAUCAGGAAGUGACUUACCAGUUGUCACUGAUCAAAAAGCUCUGGAGGUAAUUGAGUCCACACUUUCCCCAGAACUUUUAUUAAAAUACUACGCUGCCCUAAUGAGUGGUAAGGAUAUUGAUGACACUAUAUAUCAAACAUGGAAGACGUACAAAAGAAAAUGUUCAAAUCAGGGUACAUCGCCGAGAGAAAUUAUUGAAAAACACUUCCCUUUACCGAACAUUAAAACAAAAGCGACUUAAAGAAAAGCUGAAGGUAAUCGCUACUUCGUAAUUUCAGCGGAUGAAUUGUUUCAAGAGAAAUUGAAGAAGGAUGAAGAGAAGAAAAAAAUGGCAUUAGAAAAGGAAAUUCGAAAAGGUCGAACGAGAACAAAAGAAGCAAAUGAAACAAACACGAGAGAGUAAAAAAGCAAAACAGUAAACAGAAGACAUAUUGAUUUUAAUUUGAUUGCAUCGAAAGCUUCUGCCUUAUUGCGAUGCUCUCGACACCGUUUCCUGGGUAGAACCAGUGCUAUGUGUAUUUUGGAGAAAUCUCAAGAGUGUCCGUGACCUACUGUCGGAUAGCAGAAACCAUGCCCGCUACGCAACGGCAAGUCCAUGUAUACAUGAUUAUGUUACUCACCGUUUGUUAAUUGAUUGUGUCUGAUGCACCUUAAUUGAUACACGGUGUGUUUUUGAAAACAUAAUUAAAAUGAGUCCAGAAUAGUCCAAAUUUUCACCUUAAACAAAUGUAUUAUGCAUUCAUUUAGUCCAUGCAUUUAGUCAAUGAAUAAAAAUGACGUAACUUCAGCUUGUGACACUCAAGCAAAAUGCUACGGGCAUUCAUUAGCUCUUAAUUAACAGUGUCCGACUUAAAAUCAAGCGUGUCCGUCUCUUCAUCGAAAUUGUCCGUCUCACAGUGGAUGACGGGUAAGGCUAUUCAAACAAAGUUUUUUAUCAUACCUACCCUGAAAACCGGCUUUAAAGUGUUUUUCUAUGAAGCAGGAACAUUCCGCCGGGUACCAAAGCUUAGGAAACUCCGCUCCUGUUUCUAAAAAAAGCACAACUUGGAGAAGUGACGUAAGUGUGUCAGACUCUCGAUCACUUUACCCUAUAGUCUUAUUUAUAAGACGCGCAAAUAAUUUUAGAGAUACUUUUUAUAUGGGCUAAAUUCUUUGGAACGUCUUAUCGGGGAAAAGUCAAAAAUGUGUUGGAAACCAGAAAGUUGAAAUUUUCAUCAGUUUGGGUAAAACUGCAAAAUAACAUUACCAACUCAUUCAGUUUUAGUUCAGAAGUCCAUUUUUACCUCAAAUAUCAUCGAAGUUGGAAAGGCAUAAAUUCUUCAGUUAAUAAGAUAUUGUAAAAUUUUAAUUAUAUGUUAUCAAAAUAGUCGUUAUUUGCUAGUUAACGGCUUCUUUGAAAUAUAAGAAACACUAUUUACAUGCGAUUAUUUUUCCCAAUUGAGCCAGUUUUGCGAUUGAUUUUUUCCCAAAAUGGGGUUUUUCACGAGUUACGACGUGAAAUUCCCAAAAUUCCAUUGUGGCGUUUUCUCAAAAUGGAGCGGAAAAGGCCUGUAUACACAUGAAUCUGAUUAUACACAUAUCCACAAACAUAUAAAUCGAAUCAUGUUUGUCUGUUUCCAUUUUUAGAUUGAUAAUCUUGUUCGAUUUCUGUUUGCGAAUAAAUGAACUCCAAAUUAUGAACACUAAUUCUUUGACAUUCAUAACUUUCUAAUGAUAAUGUGUUCAUUGUAUUUAAAACGUAUUCUCCAUCGUUCAAUGACAAACACAUUUCAUUUAUCCAUGCUAAUUAUAUGAUGGCCAUUGUUAAUUUGAUUUUUAAUUGUCUUUUUCGCUGAGAAUGGUAAUUUCUUGUUAUUGUCUGCCAUCUUGGAAUAUUUGCGACAUGCGUGCAACGCAACGAAAAAUCGUAAAUGUCCGACUACUUUCUCGACUAUGUAAGACGCUCCAUUCACGUUUGGAGUCAUAUUCGGAUGCUGCAAUGUACUACUGACUUACGAAAGUGGGCAAAAAUGAACUUUUUAUGUUCGGAAAUAUCAUAAUCCGGUGACCACGAAAUAAUGUUGUUGUGAAAACUGCGAGUGGGUUACAAUUUUUUAAAGUGAAAAUAACCGGACAGUUAGUCUGACGAUCUUGCAUUUCACCAUCAGCUUUUUUAACUGUUCGUUUGCAAUGUCCAACGGUCUUUCGCCAUUUGUGAACAUUCCCUUAAUACAGAUCGUUCAAAUUAAGGAGUUUAACAUAUGUACUGAAAAUAAAUAAUAUUAUUUGCAUUUAUUAUUUGAAUCCUUCUAAAUGUUUGAAUUUACAAUGCUGUAUUUUUCUGCAAUGCAAUCUUAAGACUGUGUUUUCCUUAAUAGU